rnacentral:tRNA from 1 species
GAGGGUAUAAUUCAGCGGUAGAGUGUGUGCUUAGCAUGCACAAGGUCCUGGGCUCAAUCUCCAGUGCCUCCA